rnacentral:SRP_RNA from 1 species
UCGGCCCCUCGCGACGCUAGGUCGAAAACCCCGCCAGGGCCGGAAGGCAGCAACGGUAUCGAUCGACGCGGGUGCCGAGGUCAGCCGG